CGCGUGGCGGUGGGGCCGGGGUCGGUUCCUCUCUCGCCUCUCCUCUGUGAGGCUCCAGUACCGUGCGGCUCUUGGAGCUUUUAUUUUUGUUUUCUUAACCAUCUCUGGUUGCGAUCGGGUAUAGAGAGGAGGGACUUUGUUCCCGUUAGGGGCUUGUGGCUCAGCCAGUCUCUGAACCCUGUCAGAAAAGGGCUGUCGUGGGGCUGCGCUUCUCAUCGAGCUCCUCUGCUUUCGCCUUGUCGCCUUUGUGCCUAUUCCCCCCUGCUUUUCUUUUGGAUCUGCGGAGCUUCCAAACGAACUUACCUCAGUAGGGUGCCCACGGAUUUGGUCUGCCCGGAAGAGAGAAGUGCCCAUAGAACCAUAGGAUGGCCUGGGUUGAAAAGGACCACGAUGAUCAUCGAGUUUCAACCCCCCUGCUGUGUGCAGGGUCGCCGACCACCAGACCCUGUGCCCGUGUAUUACACUGCCAAAGCAAAACCACAACGGCACGCAUCCGUGUGAUGUAAAUACAUGCAAUAACGCAGGCAUGAAGAGUUCCUACAGUGCUCUCGGGAUCCAUUUGGAAAUGGCACUGAACCUGGCCAGGAGUUAGUAAUAUUUUCAGUGAAUAAUCUCGUUUCUGUUAGCGACCUGAGAGCUUCGGGUGAUAAAACAGCCCACACAAGAACAUGCAGAAGCAGAAAAUGCAAGAUAAUGCGUGUGUGGGGUAAUGAGUACUUGCACCAUAAAUCAAGGAGCUCUCUGGCAGAGGACUGCGAAAAUACCCAGGCUUGUUAGUCAAUGGGGAAAGGAAGCUAACAGUUUAAAAUGCAGUUGCGAAGAGAGCCCCGCAAAUGUGACUGAUGUGUGUGAGGUCAAACCUCUGAGUUGCCUGUGAGACAUUACUGUGUCCUGGACUGACGAACCGUGUCCAGGAAAAGGAACCUGUACAGAAAUACACCCAGGAGGGUUACUGGAGCAGAGCAAAGCUUAUCUACAAGAAUACACUUGGAAUAUUUGUCUGGCUAAUGCGGCAAAAGCAAACGUGGAGGAGGGGGUAUGGCUGCUGGAGAAGCUGCUGACGGCUGGUUUCUGGUGAGGAGGGUGAUCGGAAUGAAGAUGCAACAGGAGUGCUCACACAGAACAGAUUCACGCCAGCUGGUCAGUUUCGGUGGACUUCUGCUGAUGCGUUACGCGUCUUACAGCAAAGAGUUCUUUUACUUACCACAAAAGCAAACAGGAAACCUCGGUGAUAUUAUUAAUGUUAAUGAAAAGCUUCCACUAUGUGCCUUAAGUUUUGUAAGAAAUACUCAUCUGCCAAUGAAGUUAAGUUAAAUGGCUGUCAUCCAUACGUAGAUUCAAAACAGGGGAGUCAGCUUCAGGAUAUAAAAAACCCCCUUGAAAUAAAUUAACAACAGCUAAUUUAUUAUUCCAUUUGACUCUCUCUUUCUCCUUAUGAUGUUUAAAAAUAAUUCAAUCACAAGAUUUAAGAGGAAGUGGAAAUAAUGAUGAUCUGUUUUUAUUAAGGUACAAAACUCUUGGAGUAUCUAUGGCAAACAGAGUAGACAUUGCUGUCUGAGUCAGACUUGAAAGGAAAUGUUUAAUCCCCCAUUUUAAUAACCAGCAUAUGAGCAACAGGACCUUGUAUUUCACAAGCAUUAGAUUUUUGUAUGUGUC
rnacentral:lncRNA from 7 species